CAUCCAAACAUUCACACGAUGGUGUUAAGGCUUAUGGUUUCUGCACCAAGAUUUUGGCGGUGAGGGGUUUUCUCGACAGCAAGGACUGCCAAGGUUUCUGUCGAUGAUGAAGAUUCCAACUCUCCCAUGGCUGAGCACCCGCCAUGCAUUAAGUUCAAGACGCCGGACAAGAUGGACAGUCACAUUAUGAAUGUUCGUGUGCUGGUUAUUUUUAUAUAAGUAUGCAAGUUCUUUCCAAUGGAAAUCAUCAUCAAUUUUGCUGGUGGUCUGGUCAUUUUGUAUCACUACGUUUGUCUUCGCUGAGGAUACACUUUUCCCAGAUUGUUUCUUCCACAACAAGGCAAACCAGGACAUCUCUCUUCCUAAAUGAGAUUCAAUACAACUCUCUUCACACAAUUUGAUUAUUUUGUUUUGUCGAGUGGUCGAAUCCCUAUCACAAUGAGUCGUACAGUAUAAAUGAUCUUCAGAGUUGUCUGAUGAUCUCAUUGGAUAUCAGGCUUCAAAAUUGGCUCUUCUUUGGAUGUCAAACAAAUCUAUCUAAAGUGUAUUUCUCAAGAUAAAUAAAAUGCUCCAAGUAUUUUCCAGUUCAUAUGAUUAGUGUCUCAAGUUAUUCUCAAGUUCUUUUUCUGUAAUUGUACGCUGCAAUUUGAUGGCUCCUGUUUCCUGCAAUUCAGUUACGGAUGUACUGUUAGGAAUCCAUUGUGGCUUAUUUAUAUUUGUGGAUCAAAAAAAUGGAGAGGUUUCUCUCCUCUCCACCUGCAAGGUUCGAUCCUUCCUCGACUGCCCCGAGCUAGAUGAGUUCUUAUUGCAAUUUUGUGUUCUUAGGACAGAGGCACGGACUAACAAGUUCUGCCACUCAAAUAACAAAUUUACUAAUUCAGGUUGUGCUAGCUUUUGCAGUCUUAGUAGAGAGAAUGAAAACGGCUUUCAAAGGAUCUAGCCCCUGUUCUUAUCAACAAGGCCUGCAAUCAAAUGCUUCUUGUUUGUUGUUCUCUGGUCUUUGUAUUAUUUCACCAAAUGGUUUCUGUAUUAAUUCGAUGAAUGGUUACACUAUUCACACAAUAAGGUGAUCAUCCUUGUCAUUCAGAUCAGAUAACUUUAUAUUCUUUGCAUCCCUCCUAUUGGGAUUCCUAGAUAGCUCCAUAUAUAGAGAUGUACAUGUAUUUAUAUUCUUUAUUUUCUACAUUCCAACUAUGAAAGAGUUGUACGCUGACUGAGAUGGCAACAACGACCUUUCGUGCACCACCAACGCAGGCGGCUUGCCUUCAUCAUCCCUGAGCUAUGGAAGGAGCACCAAGGUUAAAGAUGACCUCCAGGUCGAGCAAGGCAACAGAUUAAAGGAAAUCCCCAAACAGAAAGGGAAGGCACGUCAUCCCCACUCUACCUUGGUCCUCUUACUUCAGUUACUAUGCAUUUUAGUCUGUUCUUCAGAAUUCACUCAGUAAAUUAACAUAUUUGAGAGACAUAGUUCUUGAGAAUUGAAUAUAGUUAGGUUUUUUACGCUCCAUCCACAUCACUAAAAAAGGGAAAGAUUCAAUUAUAGUUAAUCCUGGCAUUUCGAGGGUGAAAAAUGCUACAUUUUCUGGUAGACUAGAAGUGAGAGUACUAUUUCUCACGCAAGAUCAUUUUAAGGCAGCUUCAAUCUGCAUAAAUCUUAGAUGAGAUGAUAUGUUGUUCUGCUGUGAAGAAAGGCUCAGGUUGCCAUGACGCUUGGCUGAAUGGAUCCAUGUUUCCUUGGAAAGCGUCGGAUACUUGGAAGGUGUAGACGGACCUCACCGGGGGAAGAAGACAACCACGCCGUCGAUUCAGAGCAUCCAAUGAUAGUUCAUUUUGCAUGGAGGACUAGCGCAGGGAAGGUUGCUGCAACGGUAUGUUGAGACGGCGGAGGAAGGUUUGCUAAACCUACUAAUAUGUACUACAAUUUCCAUAAAGAUAAUGUUGCAUGGAGGACUAGGGCGGGGAAGGUUGCAGCCGAUGAUGUUGACAUUGCUAAUAUCUUCUAUUCAAGUUAACUGAUGUUGUGAAAUUGCUAAUAAUUGGUUAGCUUUAUUACACUAACGUAUAGGGGAAGUAGAUAGCAAAAUUUUGGGAACUUCUCUUUCUGAAACAUGGCCGUAUUGCUUACAUGCUCUAUAUUGUUAGGAGCUGCUAAAAUAGGUACAGUUUGGUUUAUUUAAUUUUUCCUUUUCCUAAGGAUAUAGUUAGAAUGUAUCCAUGUUGUUUGAUUAGUCUAUGUGUUAACUGUCUUUACCAAUAUUUUAUACAGAUCAUAUACUUGAAAAACCUUUAAUCUUUACAUGCAGGAGAUAAGGAUCUUUGUGAAGGUUCCGUAGAUUCAGUUUUGGGCAUUGAUGAUUCAUUGUGUUCUCCUUCUACUCCAUGAUGAUUUUAAAGAGAAAUAAUGUUUAUUUUCGUGAUAAAGUAAGAUCUUAAAUUUGACAA